AAUAGAAUUGUUUAAUC
rnacentral:miRNA from 1 species